UACGUAGGGUGCAAGCGUUAUCCGGAAUUAUUGGGCGUAAAGAGCUCGUAGGCGGUUUGUCGCGUCUGCUGUGAAAACCCGAGGCUCAACCUCGGGCCUGCAGUGGGUACGGGCAGACUAGAGUGCGGUAGGGGAGAUUGGAAUUCCUGGUGUAGCGGUGGCAUGCGCAGAUAUCAGGAGGAACACCGAUGGCGAAGGCAGAUCUCUGGGCCGUAACUGACGCUGAGGAGCGAAAAGCGUGGGGGAGCGAACAGG
rnacentral:rRNA from 1 species